rnacentral:rRNA from 1 species
UACGUAGGGUGCGAGCGUUAAUCGGAAUUACUGGGCGUAAAGCGUGCGCAGGCGGUUCGUUGUGUCGGCGGUGAAAGCCCCGGGCUCAACCUGGGAAUGGCCGUUGAAACUGGCGAACUGGAGUGUGGCAGAGGGGGGUGGAAUUCCGCGUGUAGCAGUGAAAUGCGUAGAGAUGCGGAGGAACACCGAUGGCGAAGGCAGCCCCCUGGGCUAACACUGACGCUCAGGCACGAAAGCGUGGGGAGCAAACAGG